rnacentral:rRNA from 1 species
UACGUAGGGGGCAAGCGUUGUCCGGAAUCAUUGGGCGUAAAGCGCGUGUAGGCGGCUCGAUAAGUCUGCUGUGAAAGUCCAGGGCUCAACCCUGGGAUGCCGGUGGAUACUGUCGAGCUCGAGUCCGGAAGAGGCGAGUGGAAUUCCUGGUGUAGCGGUGAAAUGCGCAGAUAUCAGGAGGAACACCAUGGCGAAGGCAGCUCGCUGGGACGUGACUGACGCUGAGACGGCGAAAGCGUGGGGAGCAAACAGG